rnacentral:rRNA from 1 species
AACGCGAAGAACCUUACCUACCCUUGACAUCCUGGGGAUCCUGCUGAGAGGCGGGAGUGCCGAAAGGAACCUGGAGACAGGUGCUGCAUGGCUGUCGUCAGCUCGUGUCGUGAGAUGUUGGGUUAAGUCCCGUAACGAGCGCAACCCUUGUCCUUCGUUGCUAACAGGUGAUGCUGAGAACUCGAAGGAGACUGCUGGUGAUAAACCGGAGGAAGGUGGGGAUGACGUCAAGUCAUCAUGGCCUUUAUGGGUAGGGCUACACACGUGCUACAAUGGGGUGGAGACAAAGGGAAGCGAACCUGCGAAGGGGAGCUAAUCCAUUAAAACACCUCGUAGUCCGGAUUGGAGUCUGCAACUCGACUCCAUGAAGUUGGAAUCGCUAGUAAUCGCGAAUCAGAAUGUCGCGGUGAAUACGUUCCCGGGCCUUGUACACACCGUAGUAC